GACGAACGCUGGCGGCGUGCCUAAUACAUGCAAGUCGAGCGAGGCGGCGGAUGGGUGAGUAACGCGUGGGUAACCUGCCCUUCAGUCUGGGAUCACAUUUGGAAACAGAUAAUACUCCCGGAUACUUAAGUCUGGACCUGCGAUGCAUUAGCUAGUUGGAAAGGUAACGGCUUACAAAGGCGAUGAUGCCUAGCCGGGGUGAGAGAAUGAUCGGCCACACUGGGACUGCGAUACGGCCCAAACUCCUACGGGAGGCAGCAGUAGGGAAUCUUGCACAAUGGACGAAAGUCUGAUGGAGCAACGCCGCGUGAGUGAAGAAGGUUUUCGGAUCGUAAAGCUCUGUUGUUGGUGAAGCGGUAAUCAACCAGAAAGCCACGGCUAACUACGUGCCAGCAGCCGCGGUAAUAC
rnacentral:rRNA from 1 species